GACAGAGGGUGCAAACGUUGUUCGGAUUUACUGGGCGUAAAGCGCGUGUAGGCGGCUUUGCAAGUCGGAUGUGAAAGCCCACGGCUCAACCGUGGAAGUGCAUCCGAAACUGCAUGGCUGGAGUCUCGGAGAGGAAGGUGGAAUGCUUGGUGUAGAGGUGAAAUUCGUAGAUAUCAAGCAGAACACCUGCGGCGAAGGCGGCCUUCUGGACGAUGACUGACGCUGAGACGCGAAAGCGUGGGGAGCAAACAGG
rnacentral:rRNA from 3 species